UGCAACUCGACUGCACGAAGCUGGAAUCGCUAGUAAUCGCGGAUCAGCACGCCGCGGUGAAUACGUUCCCGGGCCUUGUACACACCGCCCGUCACACCAUGGAAGUCUGCAAUGCCCGAAGCCGGUGGCCUAACCACUUAUGUGGAAGGAGCCGUCUAAGGCAGGGCAGAUGACUGGGGUGAAGUCGUAACAAGGUACC
rnacentral:rRNA from 1 species